rnacentral:rRNA from 1 species
GACGUAGGGUGCGAGCGUUGUCCGGAUUUAUUGGGCGUAAAGAGCUCGUAGGCGGCUUGUCGCGUCGACCGAGAAAACUUGGGGCUCAACCCCAAGCCUGCGGUCGAUACGGGCAGGCUAGAGUUCGGUAGGGGAGACUGGAAUUCCUGGUGUAGCGGUGAAAUGCGCAGAUAUCAGGAAGAACACCAAUGGCGAAGGCAGCUCUCUGGGACGGUACUGACACUGAGACGCGAAAGCGUGGGGAGCGAACAGG